UGAAACAUUAAGGAUGUUAGCCUUCUAGUC
rnacentral:piRNA from 1 species